AUAACUUUCUCAGCCUUUUGGCUAAAGAUCAAGUGUAGUAUCUGUUCUUAUCAGUUUAGUAACAAAAUUAAUGAAGCCACAAUCGGACUUCAAGUCGUAAAUAUUGCAUCAUUUCGUGACAUCUUAGUGAUGUUUUUACCAACCUCUGCUACAGAUGUCUGCAGAUAUGAUCCACAGACUGCAGACAUUUUACCUCU
rnacentral:snRNA from 1 species